rnacentral:rRNA from 1 species
GACGAACGCUGGCGGCGUGCUUAACACAUGCAAGUCGAACGGAAAGGCCCUGCUUUUGUGGGGUGCUCGAGUGGCGAACGGGUGAGUAACACGUGAGUAACCUGCCCUUGACUUUGGGAUAACUUCAGGAAACUGGGGCUAAUACCGGAUAGGAGCUCCUGCUGCAUGGUGGGGGUUGGAAAGUUUCGGCGGUUGGGGAUGGACUAGCGGCUUAUCAGCUUGUUGGUGGGGUAGUGGCUUACCAAGGCUUUGACGGGUAGCCGGCCUGAGAGGGUGACCGGCCACAUUGGGACUGCGGUACGGCCCAGACUCCUACGGGAGGCAGCAGUGGGGAAUAUUGCACAAUGGGCGGAAGCCUGAUGCAGCAACGCCGCGUGCGGGAUGACGUCCUUCGGGUUGUAAACCGCUUUCGCCUGUGACGAAGCGUGAGUGACGGUAAUGGGUAAAGAAGCACCGGCUAACUACGUG